UUAUUUUGCAUGGUUCUGAUUUUUAACGUCUGCCGAAUCGGAGGAAAACGUGAUCGACGUCCUGUCGCUUGACUCCGCGGUCGCUGUCGGUCAUCGAUGGGUCCCUCAUGGCUGCAAUUCGAGAUCGUACUGUAUGAUAUUGCUCGACGGCGUUGGAGAUUUCGGCGAUGCCGUAAAGGGCGGCGCAGAUCCGACGGAGCCUAGGGGGAAGUGCGUCUGACACGUCCGGGUUGCAGUGCGGUGGAGGAAUGCUGCCGGCCUCGGCGAAAGACGGCGCUCCGACUACCACCAACACGACGAAGAGAUCAAUCUGACAAACAACUUUCAGCCCGACUGCGCAUCAACAGGUGAACCGUGAUCUCUCAAACAAAGAACGGGAUAAAAAUUUUGAUUGCCGUCCGAUAUUCCAGCUUGUUACCAUCCGUCAAAGUUGCAAGCAGUCAUGGCUUAUCCCAUGACGUUCGUUCAAGACGAAAUCUUGUUCCCGAAAAAUGCCUAAUACUUGAACUCUGAAAACGAGUUCUCCGUGCCACUAGGCCAAUCGGCUGCAACUCGUAAGUUGGCUUAGAAACCAAUUUACAGCAACUUAACGGCACACAAAAGUGAGAAAGCACCGGAUAGAUAUGUCAUGGGCGAUCCUCGUUUCAAAAUUAUUCAUCGUGGGAAGAUGACGAGGACAAGCUGUACUAGAAAAGGAUUCUGCCGGGCCGUAAAUGUUCACUAAUGGAUACACUAUAGUUGACGAUAGCGAGACCACUCCCGCUUCCGUUUGCCGCGCCCCGUUUAAAACAGAUUAAUUUUGACAGUUGCGCUCGACAGGAAAUUUGAAUAAUCUACACGC
rnacentral:lncRNA from 1 species